GAUGGACGCUAGCUACAGGCUUAACACAUGCAAGUCGAGGGGCAGCGCAGUGUAGCAAUACACGGGCGGCGACCGGCGCACGGGUGCGUAACGCGUAUCCAACCUUCCCGUUACUCAGGGAUAGCCUUCCGAAAGGGAGAUUAAUACCUGACGGUGUUUGAAUUCCGCCUGUUAUUCAAACUAAAGAUUUAUCGGUAACGGAUGGGGAUGCGUGACAUUAGAUAGUAGGCGGGGUAACGGCCCACCUAGUCUACGAUGUCUAGGGGUUCUGAGAGGAAGGUCCCCCACACUGGAACUGAGACACGGUCCAGACUCCUACGGGAGGCAGCAGUGAGGAAUAUUGGUCAAUGGUCGGAAGACUGAACCAGCCAAGUAGCGUGAAGGAUGAAGGUUCUAUGGAUUGUAAACUUCUUUUAUACGGGGAUAAAACCUCCCACGUGUGGGAGCUUGUAUGUACCGUAUGAAUAAGCAUCGGCUAAUUCCGUGCCAGCCGCCGCUGUAAUAC
rnacentral:rRNA from 1 species